UUGCAUGUGGAAAUGCCUUCUCCUCAUUCCUUUGGAGCAGGACAACAUCCAUAACAUGCUAUAUUAACAAAGGAGUUCUCAGGGCUGCCAACCUUACAGUAGAGGUUGAGUGGUAGUAUAUUUCUCCUACACAA
rnacentral:snoRNA from 14 species